UACGUAGGGGCGAGCGUUGUCCGGAAUGAUUGGGCGUAAAGAGCGCGUAGGCGGCUUGUUAAGUCUGGAGUGGAAGUCCUCUUUUUAAGGGAGGAAUUGCUUUGGAAACUGGCGAGCUUGAGUGCAGGAGAGGUUAUCGGAAUUCCCGGUGUAGCGGUGAAAUGCGUAGAGAUCGGGAGGAACACCAGUGGCGAAGGCGGGUAACUGGACUGCAACUGACGCUGAGGCGCGAAAGUGUGGGGAGCAAACAGGAUUAGAUACCCCGGUAGUCCCUGAG
rnacentral:rRNA from 1 species